rnacentral:rRNA from 1 species
GAUGAACGCUAGCUACAGGCUUAACACAUGCAAGUCGAGGGGUAACGAGAGGGAAGCUUGCUUUCCUUGUCGACGACCGGCGCACGGGUGAGUAACGCGUAUCCAACCUGCCCCCAACUAGGGAAUAACCUUGCGAAAGUAAGACUAAUACCCUAUAAUUUCCUCAGAUGUCAUCUGACGAGGAAUAAAGAUUUAUCGGUUGUGGAUGGGGAUGCGUCUGAUUAGCUUGUUGGCGGGGUAACGGCCCACCAAGGCAACGAUCAGUAGGGGUUCUGAGAGGAAGGUCCCCCACAUUGGAACUGAGACACGGUCCAAACUCCUACGGGAGGCAGCAGUGAGGAAUAUUGGUCAGUGGGCGGAAGCCUGAACCAGCCAAGUAGCGUGCAGGAUGACGGCCCUAUGGGUUGUAAACUGCUUUUAUACAGGAAUAAAGUUAGCCACGUGUGGUUAUGUGUAGGUACUGUAUGAAUAAGGACCGGCUAAUUCCGUGCCAGCCGCCGCCGUAA